AUAACAAUUGAAUGAAGAUCACUCGUGAUCUGUUUGGCAAGCAUUUAAAACCAUCUUUGACCAUGCCCAUUCCUUAGAUGAUUGGGCCACGAGCUGCACAGAUAUUCUAUUUCUGAUCAGUGGCUUAGAAAUCUCUGUUUGUCCCUCUCAUAAUAUCUCUGUAUAUGGUAACAAUUAUUGCAUCACAUCCCCUCCCCUUCCUUGGAGUUCAUUUUACUGAUAUCUGUGUACCUUGUGCAGGUGGGAAUAGAUGCAUGGAAGAGGGCUCGUGACAGCACAGGUCUGACACCUUAUGAUUAUGCAUGCCUGCGAGGUCAUUACUCUUACAUUCAUCUAAUCCAGAGGAAAAUCAAUAAGAAAUCAGAAAGUGGGAACGUGGUGCUUGACAUCCCUAGUUCCCUUGUGGAUUGCAAUUCCAAGCAAAAAGAUGGGAAUGAAUUACCAAAAGUGACCAGCUUGCACACUGAGAAGAUCAAAAUGAAAGCAACACAUCAGCACUGCAAGUUAUGUGAGCAGAAGCUGGUUUGUGGUGCAGCAAGAACAUCUCUGGUAUACCGGCCAGCAAUGCUCUCAAUGGUGGCCAUUGCAGCCGUCUGUGUAUGUGUAGCUCUGCUCUUCAAGAGUUCUCCUGAAGUUCUUUACGUGUUCCAGCCUUUCAGAUGGGAAUUGCUGAAGUAUGGAUCAAGCUAAGCUAGAUCUACUUGUUAGUAUUGCUGGUACAAGGUCUAAUAUUCUUUUUUUCCCUUCCCGUUUCUCCAAAAAAACAAAAAAAAAAAUUCACCUGACAACGUGUAUGAAUUUAGUGGAAAAUAUGAUGUAUAUGUAAUAAUAAUAGCUAAUUUAAUUUAUAAAACUAUAAUAGGGAAAUGUGUACUUCUACAUAGACAUGCAUAUAAAGUAGACACCACUGUUUUUUUUUUUUCCUGGUGGGUUGGGUCGGGGGGCAGAGGGUGAAAGAAUAAUUUAUUUUCUGGAGUCUCGACUCUUGAGGCUCUUGUACUUUGAACAGGCUUAAACUUCUAGCAGUGAAUUAUGAGCUUCAUAGCUUGCUAUUAUUUCUUCAGAUUAUGGGGUUAUACAUUGUAAGAAUUCCAAAGAAGGUUUCAAUGAAUCCAUGAAUGAAGUGGUUUAGCAAAUCCUUACUAUGUCAACCUGGCUGCAAGUUCAAAGGGCAGCUCAUGAGAAUAUAUUUGUUUAUCGUCUUUUUUAAGUUUCAUGAUCGAUGAUUUGCUUUUGAUUGAAUUGAGAAGUUUAGCAUAGUUUGUGUGUGUAGAAAAAAAAGAGAGUUGUUUGGAAGAAGUUCACCUCGUGUAAAGGUUCUAUGGAAUGGAAUGAUAAUUGUAGAGCAGUUUAUUAUUGAAUUAAAGAAGAAGAAGAUGUGGUAUUCCAUUGGUAUUCUUCUUUUUUCUUUGUUUUUUCGCUUUUUAAGGUUCAAGAGUGUUUGUUUGAGCAAACGAACGCAGUCAAACAUAGGUUUUAUUUCAAUUCCUAAACAGGGACGAAUUAAACCCUGAGAAAAAGUGGUAUGAAAUUGUCUUCUAAUUGGAGCUAUCGUUACAGUAUUCUAACAUAAUUUUUGCCCCUCCAUGUCGUCUAAUAUCGUAUUUGAGUCAGAUUUCUAAACUUAAAUUCAAGAGUCUCUGUUUCUAGAUAAUCUCAUAAAAAAAAUAUAGAUUAAAAAAAAAAAGUAUUUUUGCAAUAUAGGUAAGAAUAACAUUUUUUAUUUUUAGUUUUACAUUUAGUAGACGCUCUUAUUCUCCUAUUAUAGUUUGUACCUUUCCUGAGCAGGUCCCAAUUGAGAUUUUAUACUUAUAUUUUUCUUAACAAACAGUUGAGACGUCAGCACUGAGAUUUUUUUUUGCAGAUAUGUUAAGCGUUUGAAUUUAGUUUAGAUUUAAAAACAUGGGACAAAUAAAUAUUAAUAAUCCACUGUAAAUCAAUCAAGUUAUGGUCUCCGCUGCUGUAUUCAAGUCCAACACAGACAGUAAGAGAAGAGUCACAAGAAACCGAAGCAAAUAAUGUCUCUCUCCUUCUCCCCUCCCUCUCCCUCACAACAAAAACACCCCUAAACACAAAACCCAUCAACAACUGCAACAAAGCCAAAACCCUCUUCACACUCACAAACUUCUUCUCCGAUGUGCAUUUACCUCUGCUGCUACUGCACUAUCUUCUUCAUCUUCUCCUAAAAAGAAGCAUUGGAAACAAGGUGAAUUCCCUGGAAUAACUGACACUUCAGUUCCCAGGAGAACCGCAAUAAAAAACAUCAAGAAGAAAUUAGACCGCAAGAACAAAGCCAAGGCUUGGGUCAAUACUGUAGCUGAAGCUUUAACUGAUUGCGUUCUCAAGAAACAAUGGCUCCAAGCACUUCAGGUUACCUACUAACCCUCUUCUUUUACUAGUUUAAUUCAAAGUCACCAACUGGGUUUUCUUAUUUUUUUUUAUUUAAUUAUGUUGUCAUUGGCAGCCAAACCCAUAAUUUUACUUAAAGUUUGGAUCUUUAUCUGUUUGAGAAUGUUAAAGGAACAACCCUUUACCUGCAUGAAACCAAUUUUACUAGAAAAUUAGCAAAUUGGUGAUCUUUUUUUUGUGUGUUUAAUUAUGCUGUGGUUGGCCGCCAAACCAAUAGUUUUCAUAAAUCUUGGAUCUCUAGAUGUUUGAGAUGCUAAAGGAACAACCUUUUUAUCAACCAAAGGAAGCUACAUACAUGAAACUCUUGGUACUCUUGGGGAGAUGUGGUCAGCCUCAACGUGCCCACCAAAUUUUCGACGAAAUGAUUGAAGAAGGAAUAGAACCCACAUCUGAAUUUUACACUGCGUUGCUUGCAGCUUAUUGUCGAAACAAUCUUAUCGAGGAGGGUUUCUCAAUUAUUAACCAGAUGAAGACUGUCCCUCGUUGCCAGCCUGAUGUUUACACUUACAGUACUUUACUUAAAGCUUGUGUUGAUGCUUCGAGAUUUGAGUUAAUUGACAUUUUGUAUCAAGAAAUGGAUGAAAGAUUGAUAAGUCCAAACACAGUCACGCAGAAUAUAGUUUUGAGCGGAUUUGGGAAGGUGGGGAUGUAUGAUCAGAUGGAGAGAGUGUUAUCUGGGAUGUUAGAGAGCAAGACAUGUAAACCAGAUGUUUGGACUAUGAAUAUAAUUCUUAGUGUGUUUGGUAAUAAGGGUCAUGUUGAUUUGAUGGAGAGAUGGUAUGAAAAGUUUAGAAAUUUUGGAAUUGAGCCAGAAACUCGCACUUUCAAUAUUUUGAUUGGUGCAUAUGGGAAGAAACGGAUGUAUGAUAACAUGUCAUCAGUGAUGGAAUACAUGCGCAAGCUUCAGUUUCCGUGGACGACUUCUACUUACAAUAAUGUUAUUGAGGCUUUUGCAGAUGUGGGGGAUGCAAAAAACAUGGAGUAUACAUUUGAUCAAAUGCGUGCAGAGGAUAUGAAAGCAGAUACAAAGACAUUCUGUUGCCUUAUUAAUGGAUAUGCCAAUGCGGGUCUAUUCCAUAAGGUCAUUAGCAGUGUCCAGUUGGCUGCAAAGUUUGAGAUACCGGAGAAUACAUCAUUGUAUAAGGCAGUUAUAUCUGCGUGUGCAAAGGCAGAUGAUUUGGUAGAGAUGGAGAGAGUUUUUAAGCAGAUGAAAGAUAAGCAAUGCCUCCCUGAUUCCAGAACCUACUCUAUCAUGGUUGAAGCAUAUAGAAAGGAAGGUAUGAAUGACAAGAUCUACUAUUUGGAGCAGGAGAAACAAAAGAUGAUUGCCAAUGGUGCUUUAAGUGAUUAGAUCAUCUUGUGGAAUCCAUGGUUGAUUGCUGACCAGAACGCUGCUACUUCUCACCUCUCAGCAAUGUGAAAUUUUCUCUGGGGAGUGGCUGAAAUGUUCUGCUCAGGCAUUUCUGUUCCUGAUUCCUGGGACAAUCAAAGCUUUUGUUUACUGGACGGGGGAAUAUCCUUUGUUCCCCCUUGGGCUGCAACAAACUCUUGUAAAUUGCUUCGGCAAUCCUCUAAGCAUAUGUAAGAUGAACAAUACUGUUGUGAUCAAUUUGAUUACUGUUUCUGUGCAAGCUUUAGGACAUCAAUUGGUUGAUUUUAAGUACAACAUUUUGUUUCCUUCACUUUUUCCUUGUAAAAUGCCAUGUUUCCUGCAAAUUUUUUUGUCAUUAGAGAGGUGAAAUAAAUGGAUAGAACUGCUGUCGAGAAAAAUGCAAUACAGGUAGGAUGGACUUUAUCCUCAGUUUCUUAGCUGGAACUUUUAAGUGUUCACAGGAAUUCACAAUGGCUAUGUCAAUACUGCUUGCUGGGUUGGGUUUUUGUAGCCUACGGUUCCAUUUGGACCCUUAAUUUGAGCUGAAUUCGCUUCACUUAGGAUUAGGUCCCCUUUUUUUUCGGCAAAAAAUAAAACGAGGAUGUAGGGGUAAUAUGACAUCAUCUUACCACCAAAACAAAAGGCUUAUUACUUGGGCCUUUAGGCGUGGCUUUUUUUUUUUUUUUUUAUGGUGUUUAGAAAUGUAUUAAUAAUUAUUUUUUUAAAUACUUUUUUGUUUUAAAAAUAUAUUAAAAUAAUAUAUAUUUUUUAUUUUUAAAAAUUACUUUUAAUGACGUUUCCAACAGAAGCAAAGAAAGGGAGAAGAGGUUUGGCAUCCCCGAAGCAACAAAACCAAAGUCUCAUUGCUGGGGCCUCUUUGAUUGAUGAGCAAAGCCUUUUUUUUCAUGGUGAUGAGUUCAUGCGUGGAUGUCAGCAGAAAACAUGCAAAUCAAUUAAAGCGGAGGCUAUGCACUUAUUUGCUUAGAAGAUGCCAAUCAUCUAAAAGCAUAAAGAUCCAAUUAUCCCAAUUGCAUCUUCAGGGGUCCCAUUUACUUUUCCUCUUCCUUGUACGUUUACGUUGUAGGCAAGUGCGCUGAAUAAUGGCAUAUUUGCCGGUAAUGAGUUUUCUUUUAACCUGACACACUGACAAAUUGUGUGGAUUCCAUCGAAUGAAAUGAGCUUAUAACUGCUUUAAACAAGGAUCUUUCUUUUAAUCUAACACUUAUACGAAGUGUGUAGAUUCCAUCGAAUGAAAUGAACUUUUUAAAGUGAUUUAAACAAGAGAUAAUGUUUUUAGGAAAAGUAUAAUAAAGUUGGAAGAUAAUGUUUUUUGCAUUAUUAUAUUCAAAAUAUCAAACCAGCUGUGGUGAGUGUAAUCAUAUACGGAAGAUGAGCAUGCCCACACUUUGUGGCUGCUACUGAAGGUUGGAGCAUUGCGGUGUACCCAUCAAUGAAUAGCCAGAUGAGUAGCACUGUUAAGAUAGAGUACUUACAGGAUAUUGAGUUAACAGAGUCUGGUAGAAGCACCGUAUCCUCAGCAAGUGGGAGCCAAGUGCCAAGUUUUCAUGGUGUUUCAAUUGGGAAUUCUGAUCAUUAUGUUAGCAAUGGGGUUGUCGAGAAUGACUUGCAACAAAGGGAUACCAUUGAGAGAUUACCAACCUUUGAACGGAUUACUACUGCUUUACUGGAUGAAGUUGACGAUGGCAAAACAGGAAAUAAACAAGCAGAUGUUAAAGGUAAAAGAAUAGUUAAUGUUGCAAAGCUUGGAGCUCAAGACCGGCAUAUGUUGAUUGAGAAGCUCAUCAAGCAUAUUGAAAAUGAUAAUCUCCAAUUGCUGCAGAAGCUUAGAGAAAGACUUGACCAGUAACACAUCUUUUCGCCUUUUCAAAGAGUUAGUAGUACUAGUAACACAAUAAUGUUUCUAGCUAUGUAAGCUUUUUAUCUUUGUUAUUCAGGGUUGGUGUAGAGUUUCCCACGGUGGAAGUGAGAUACAGAAGUCUCUGUGUUGAAGCAGAAUGUGAGGUGGUUCAUGGCAAGCCUCUCCCUACUCUUUGGAGCACUGCCAAGGGCAUGCUUUCUGUAAGUGCUAGCAUACAAUAGCGAGAACAAGUAGAACUUCAAGUGAAUAUCUUUUUUGUUUUUCCCAUUUAAGCUUUUUGUUUGUGACAGGGGAUUGCCAAUCUGUCUUGUUUGAGACAAAGAGCCAAGAUAAGCAUACUAAAAGAUGUCAGAGGCAUCAUUAAGCCAAGAACGUAACUAACCUUCAAACCUGCCCAAGUUUGAGUCUUUCUGGAAAGUGAAUUAGCACAUGUACAACAUGUUAAUUUCAAGUUCACUAGUUUCAAUUCAUCUUUUUGGCAGGAUGACUUUACUGCUUGGCCCUCCAGGGUGUGGCAAAACCACAUUGUUGUUGGCGCUCGCUGGGAAACUGAGCCAUUCCCUCGAAGUAUUUUUACGAUUUCUAGUUGUAUAAGAUGUCACUUGUUUUUAUGUUUCUAAGUUGUCUUACAUAAAUUGUUCCACAGCUUUCAGGGGAAUUAUCUUACAAUGGUUAUGGAUUGGGAGAGUUUGUUCCUCAGAAAACUUCAGCUUAUGUAAGCCAAUAUGAUCUGCACAUUCCAGAGAUGACAGUGAGGGAAACAAUUGAUUUUUCUGCAUGUUGUCAGGGCAUAGGAAGCCGAGCAGGUAAUCUUUAGGAAAAAAACUGGAAAUUGUUUAUAUUAAUCUGUGCGUUCCCAUAAAUCUCUUGCCAGAUCAAUGUCUCAAAUUAGUGCUGUUCAGGAUAGUCUAUUUUUUUUUCCAAAUAAAAUUGAAUAACUUGCUGUCGUUGCAUUAAAGAAAUCUUGAUGGAAGUCAUUAGAAGGGAGAAGCAAGCAGGGAUACACCCAGACUCUGAUGUGGAUACUUACAUGAAGGUAAACUGUGACGCAUGUCUCAUGCACUCUCAAAAGAUCGGACUACACAUCGUAGAAGUAUUAUGCCAAAAAAAAAUUCAUGUUUCAGAAGCACGAGGUUUUUUUGUUUUUUUUCAAAUUGACCUACAACGAAAAUUAUCUUAUCUCAUUUGUAUGUUUAAGUAUGCUACCGCAAACAUUUUUAUUCACCCACCAAUCAGCUCUGAUUCAGUCAAUGUACUUCUAACAUGAGUGGGGUGUUUUUCAUUUGACUCUGAAAUGAAAUAACGAUAUGCUUCAUACAGUGUAAUCUGGCAUAAUUUAUUUUAAUGGAAGCAUAAUAUUGACCACCAAGCAAAACGAUAUUGUAGCAGACGAUUUGUUCCAACAAACUUAUCCUGACUACUUCUCCAGAAAUGUUUUUCCACGCAUAAUCUCCUGCCCUGGAUAUUUAUGAUGUUCUAUAUUUAUUGGCCUAAUUAGAACCUAAACUUCUGAUGACAGGGAAUAUCAGUCGAAGGACUAAAAAGUACCCUUCAAACAGACUAUAUUUUGAAGGUAGUCUACUUGGCUUUUUAUAGGGACACUCUUUGCUUCUUACUGAAUAUGGUUUUGUAUGAUGAUAUUUUCAAUCGUAUGCCUCUAUCUUUCAGAUUCUAGGACUUGAUAUUUGUUCUGAUACAAUGAUUGGGGAUGCUAUGAGAAGAGGUAUCUCAGGUGGUCAGAAGAAAAGGCUGACUACAGGUAUUGUCUGUUUGAGAAAAGAAAUUUGCUAGUUUGCAGUCGGGUUUGCAUCGAAACUUCAAGGAUUGGUUCAAAUAUGAUUCCCAACUUGCCUCAAUGGACUAUCCACUUGCUGCAUUGUGCAGGGGAAAUGAUUGUCGGUCCCACAAAAGCAUUAUUCAUGGAUGAAAUAUCAAAUGGCUUAGACAGUUCCACCACUUCCCAGAUUGUAUCUUGUCUGCAGCAGAUGGCACAUGUUACUCAUGAUACUGUAUUGAUUUCGCUUCUGCAGCCAGCACCAGAGACCUUUGAUCUCUUUGAUGACGUCAUUUUGAUGGCUGAAGGAAAGAUUGUUUAUCAUGGUCCACGUUCUAGUAUUUGCAAAUUUUUUGAGGACUGUGGAUUUAGGUGUCCUGAAAGAAAAGGUGUCGCUGAUUUUCUUCAGGAGGUAGGUUGGCAAGCUUCAGGUUUCUCCACUUAUAUUUCAUUGUAUAAUGAAGCUUUCUUACUAUUUUACCAUUUGAUCCAGGUCAUCUCUAGGAAAGAUCAAGCACAAUAUUGGUACUGCAAAGAGCAGCCUUACAGUUACGUUUCCAUUGACGAGUACGUUAAGAAAUUCAAAGAAAGUGAAUUUGGACAGAAGCUUGAUGAGGAGCUCUCAAAGCCAUUUGCUAAGUCUGAAAGCCACAAGACUGCUUUAUCCUUCGAAAAGUAUUCAUUACCAAAAUGGGAAUUGUUUAAAGUUUGCAGUACGAGGGAAUUUCUUUUAAUGAAAAGGAAUUAUUUUAUUUACGUAUUCAAAUCUGUGCUGGUAUGUUGCCUUAGGUUCACAAAGGUUUUAUUUACUUUUAUUUAGUACAAAUGGCUAUCAUAGAGUGCCUUAUCUGAAAACAUUUUUGGGUUGGCUUUGUGCAGCUAGUGUUCAUUGCUUCGGUUACAAUGACUGUUUUACUGCGCACAAGAAUGGCUGUUGAUCCAAUCCAUGCAAAUUAUUACAUGGGAGCUUUAUUCUAUGCCCUCAUAAUAUUACUAGUCGAUGGACUUCCAGAAUUGCUGAUGACUGUCUCAAGGCUUGCAGUUUUCAAUAAACAAAGAGAGUUAUGCUUUUACCCUGCUUGGGCUUAUGCGAUCCCUGCUGCUAUCCUUAAAGUUCCACUUUCAUUCUUAGAAGCCUUUGUUUGGACAACUCUUACUUACUAUGUCAUUGGUUACAGCCCUGAGGUUUCAAGGUGAGCCACAUUUUUUCAGCAGACCAAAUGUAAAGUAGCUAUCUGAAUCCAACUUACAAAAAAAAUCAAACAGCCAUGCCAGAGAACUGUUAGUAUCAUCUGGGAAUUGGAUCUUAGAUUGUUCAAAUGUUACUGUGAUCUGAUUUUUUAUAAGGAUAUGCUUUCAUAGGUUGCAUUGGAUAGAAGCUAGAUAAUUUUCUCCUGGAGGUUGAGCAGGGAAUGUUAUUCUAGUUCUGAUUGAGCAUAUAACUAGCUGACAUGUCUCCUAGUUUCCUCACUAAAGGUCACUCCUUAUUUUGGCUGCUGUUGAUGUCGUAAAUGACUAAUUCUAAAUUCUAUCUGUCAAAGAACCAAUUUAACCCAAAAGCUUAAAUUUUUAUUUGAGGUCCCAGGAUAUGAUUUAUGUUAUUCUCUAACACAUCCUCUCAAGUGAAAACCCUUUAGACUUGAAACUUGCACAGGCUCUUGUGCUUAAUUUUUUUUUUAUCAAAUAAAUAGAGAUGGUGAGAUUCGAACUCGAGACCGCUUGGUCAUCAAGGUUCUGAUACCAUGUCAAAAAACCAAUUCAACCCAAAAGCUUAAGCUUUUAGGUGAAGUCCAGGAUAUGAUUUAUAUUAUUCUCUAACACUAUCAUGAUGUUUUUCUCAGGUUUUUCCGCCAGUUCCUUCUGUUCUUUUUGGUACACCUAACAUCUACAUCAAUGUAUCGUUUUAUUGCCUCAAUCUUCCAAACCGUAGUUGCCUCAACACUAGCUGGCAGUCUCAUUGUAUUGAUUGUUUUACUAUUUGGUGGAUUUUUAAUCCAAAAACGUAAGAUUUCACUUAGCUAUUCUAAUAAUCUUGUCAGUAGAAUUUAUUCAGAUGAUAAUACUUGAAGUUUGUUUUCUUGCAGCCUCUAUGCCUGCUUGGCUGGAAUGGGGAUUUUGGUUUUCUCCAUUGACAUAUGGGGAGAUCGGCCUGACUGUGAAUGAGUUUCUUGCCCCUAGAUGGGGAAAGGUAAUAUUUAUCCAGUCAACCCUUGUUUAUAUGGGUAGCUUUCCAUUAAUUACGAGUAGAAGUUCAAGGAGGAAACUUUUAGAGGACGUUGGGAAGAUAGAAUUCACCUGAGCAUAAAUUAGCUUGGUAGAUGUUUCACAGACAUAGGAAGAUUUCUUCUCAAAGAUGUAGUUAGUUUUCUCUUCGAAAAAUACUUCCAUUCGAAUAUAUCUCAUGGAUGCUGCAAGAAGCAUGAAAAAAUAUCGCUAACCUUCUUUAACAAUGGACUGCAAGUUUUUUGCUCUCUUUUCACUUACUAAUUGGGAGAACCAGCUGGAGGUUGAGUCUGGUCCUAUUAUUUUGCAUUUACAAUAGUGAUUAGUUAGUCAUUAAUACAGGGAAAAUCAUUUGCUCUUAAUUUUAUACACAGGUUGUGUCUGCUAAUGCAACCAUAGGGCAACGGAUACUAGAAAGCCGUGGAUUAAACUUUCACAGUUACUUUUAUUGGAUAUCAGUUGGUGCCCUAAUUGGAUUUACUGUACUUUUCAACGUUGGUUUUACUUUGGCUUUAACCUUCUUGAAAUGUAAGUUCAUCUUCCACUGCAUAUUAAGGUUUUCAAGACAACUAAUUUGUGGACGCAUGCUAACCCAAAUGUUUUAUAAAUUAUAUCCAUUCAGCUCCGGGUAAAACUCGUGCUAUUAUUUCUUACGAAAAGUACAAUCGACUGCAAGGAAAAAUAGAUGGUGGUGUUUGUGUUGGCAAAAACAAGACACCGACCAGUGCUUGUUCUAAAUCUAGUACAGGACCUAACAAAGGUGAGAGUGCUUCUGUAUUCUUUGAUUUGAUUUUAGUACAAGUAACAUUAACGCAGUAGGUCUUUCGCAUUAUGACCUUACUGUGGUAAAACAUAUUGGAAUGCAUACACAUCUCCUACACUUAUUUAAGUAGUGCUAUCAUUCAACUUUUGCAGGGAGGCUGGUUUUACCCUUUGAGCUCCUUACGUUUACAUUUAAAGAUGUUCAGUACUAUGUUGAUACCCCUUUGGUAACCAUGAUAAUUCUAGUUUUUCCUUAUCCUGAGCAGUUAUAAUUUUAGAUCUUAUCAAUCCCAUUGUUUGUCUCAGGAAAUGAGAAAGCGAGGUUUUUUGCCAAAGAGGCUCCAGCUUCUUUCUGACAUUACAGGUGCAUUCAGGCCCGGUAUUCUUACAGCACUGAUGGGUGCUAGUGGAGCUGGGAAAACGACUCUUAUGGAUGUUCUCUCCGGAAGGAAAACUCUUGGUACUAUUGAAGGAGAGAUAAGAAUCGCUGGGUACCUGAAGGUUCAGGAUACAUUUGCUAGGAUAUCAGGCUAUUGUGAGCAAACUGACAUACAUUCACCGCAAAUUACUGUAGAAGAAUCUUUGGUUUAUUCUGCUUGGUUGCGGCUUCCACCUGAGAUCCCUGCGGAAAAAAAAUUCGUAUGAUACCCUCUUAAAACAGAGUUGAUCAUCUGGACUUGGACUUGAUCUUUAUGACCAAAUUUCAAUGAAGUUUUCUGCUAACCUUUUCUUUCAGGAGUUUGUAAAUGAAGUCCUUGAAACCAUUGAGCUCGAUGGGAUUAAGGAUGCUUUAGUAGGAAUCCCCGGAAUUAGUGGUUUAUCUACCGAGCAGCGUAAACGACUGACUAUAGCUGUAGAACUUGUUGCCAAUCCAUAUAUCAUAUUUAUGGAUGAACCAACUUCCGGAUUAGAUGCAAGAGCAGCAGCAGUUGUUAUGAGAGCAGUGAAGAACGUAGCUGAAACAGGAAGAACAGUCGUUUGUGUUGGGAUAUUUCCAGAACUCAAACACACACAAUUUACGUGGUUCGGCAACUUGCCUACUCCACGGAGCUACUGGUUUGUAUUAAUGAAGCUUACAAACAAUACAAACAAAGGAGGAGGAGAAUCUUCUCAACUCAACUCUACACUCAAGCUCUCUCUACACUUCUCUGUUCUCUCUUCUCUCUGUGUUUUCACUCUCUGCAACUCGUCGGUUCUUCUUCUCUGUGUUCUCUCGAUACACGUACAAACACUUCACAAGGGGGCACAUUAAUAUACAAUUAAUGGGAGUGAGGGGGAGUCCUCCACCAUGUGCUAAGUGGGAGAUUAGGUAAUCCCACUUGCACAUGGUGGGGCUUGCUUGUCUCCAAUAAUUAACAAUCUCCCACUUGGAGACAAACAAUGAAAUUAUCUUUUAUCCUUGAAGGCCAACUGAAGUUUUGCACAACUUCAGUUUAUCAAGUGUAACUCCUUUGGUUAACAUGUCAGCUGGAUUCUUGCUUCCACAGACCUUUUCUAGCAUUAGUUGCUCGUCGUCCAGCAGUUGUCGGAUGAAGUGAUAUUUGAUCUGAAUAUGCUUCGUCCUGGAGUGAAAUGCUGGAUUCUUGGCAAGGAAGAUUGCACUCUGACUAUCGCUAUACAAAGUACCCUUUCCAUUCAUCUUGCCCAAUUCUUUCAGGAAACUCUGCAGCCAUACGAUCUCUUUUGCAGAUUCUGAGACUGCAACAUAUUCAGCUUCUGUUGUUGAAAGAGCGACGAUCUUUUGCAAGGUAGAACUCCAGGAAACAGCAGUCCCUCCUAGAGUAUAUACAUAUCCUGUAGUGCUUUUUCGGCUAUCAACAUCUCCUGCUAGAUCAGCAUCUACAAAACCUUCAAGUUUCAAACCACCAGCUGUGAAACUGAGACAAGUUUCCGAGGAACCUUUUAAGUACCUCAUGAUCCAUUUGACCGCCUCCCAAUGCUGCUUUCCAGGAUUGCUCAUAUAUCGGCUUACAACUCCCACUGCAUGGGCAAUGUCUGGUCUGGUACAGACCAUAGCAUACAUCAAAGAGCCGAUAGCUGAGGCGUAUGGAAUCUUAUCCAUGUAUCCACUUUCUAGCUCAGUUUUUGGUGACUGAUCUUUGCUGAGCUUGAAAUGAUUCCCCAGUGGUGUACUUACUGGUUUAGUAUUAUCCAUACUAAACCUGCUGAGAACCUUCUUGACAUACUCUGUUUGUGAAAGCUUUAGUACGCCUUUGUCUUUAUCUCUGAAGAUUCUCAUGCCAAGUAUUUGUUUAGCAGCUCCCAGAUCCUUCAUUUCAAACUGUUUUGACAACUGCUGUUUCAGCUUAUCAAUCUCCUCAAUGCUGGAUCCUGCAAUCAACAUAUCAUCUACAUAUAAUAGUAGAAUGAUGUAGGAGUUGUCAAAAUGUUUGACAUAGCAACAAUGAUCAGCUUGGCAUCUUGUAUAUCCGGAACUGCACAUGAAGUUGUCAAACUUCUUGUACCACUGUCUUGGAGCUUGCUUCAAACCGUAUAGGCUUUUCUGUAGCUUGCAGACUUGAUUCUCCUUUCCUUGCAUUGCAAACCCCUCUGGCUGUUGCAUGUAAAUAUCUUCCUCCAAGUCACCAUGAAGGAAUGCUGUUUUUACAUCUAACUGUUCAAGAUGUAAAUUUUCUGCAGCUACUAUCCCCAGAACAACUCUGAUUGUUGUGAGCUUCACAACUGGAGAAAAUAUCUCAGAGUAGUCAAUGCCUUUCUUUUGUUGAAACCCUUUGACAACAAGUCUUGCCUUGAACCGUUUACUUCCGUCAUGCUCAGUCUUCACUCUGUAAACCCACUUGUUUUGUAAAGCCUUCUUUCCUUCAGGUAGUGUGGUUAGCUCCCAAGUCGUGUUCUUCAGCAACGAACUCAUCUCAUCCUUCAUGGCUAACUCCCACUUGCUUGAGUUUCCAUCUUGUAAGGAUUCUUCAUAAGUUAGCGGUUCACCACCAUCUGUCAACAAAAUGUAAUUCAGUAAAAGUGUGAACCGUUGCGGGGGCUUUAUCGUCCUCGAAGACCUGCGAACAGCUGGUUCAAUUUGCUCCGCAUCUUCUUGUGUAGUAGCGGGUACAGAUAUGCUUGAGUCUUCUUGUAAAGACUCUUGAUUGUUGUUCUGCUCAGUAACAUCGGGAAGGCCUUCUAAUCUUAUGAAUUCAGAUCCUUGUGGCCUUGUAUCUGAAUCAGCCUUAUCUGUUUCUGCACUUGAUCUGUCUUUGUACAGAACUUUCUCAUUGAAGAUCACGUUCCUGCUUCUGAUAAUCUUUCUAUUCUGAUCAUCCCAGAACCGAAAGCCAAAUUCUUCAUCUCCAUAGCCGAUGAAGAAACAUUUCUUGGAUUUGGCAUCCAACUUGUUGCGAGCAUUAGAAUCUAUAUGAACAUAGGAAACACACCUAAAGACCUUUAAAUGAGAGAGUUGUACCUCUUUUCCUCUCCAUACUUCCUCGGGCAAUCUGAACUCCAAAGGAACUGAUGGUCCACGGUUGAUCAAGUAAACUGCAGUAUGAACUGCAUCAGCCCAGAAUGUUUGAGGUAGCCCUGAAUGCAACCUCAUGCUUCUAGCUCGUUCAUUGAUGGUCCGGUUCAUUCGUUCAGCAAUGCCAUUCUGUUNNNNNNNNNNNNNNNNNNNNNNNNNNNNNNNNNNNNNNNNNNNNNNNNNNNNNNNNNNNNNNNNNNNNNNNNNNNNNNNNNNNNNNNNNNNNNNNNNNNNNNNNNNNNNNNNNNNNNNNNNNNNNNNNNNNNNNNNNNNNNNNNNNNNNNNNNNNNNNNNNNNNNNNNNNNNNNNNNNNNNNNNNNNNNNNNNNNNNNNNNNNNNNNNNNNNNNNNNNNNNNNNNNNNNNNNNNNNNNNNNNNNNNNNNNNNNNNNNNNNNNNNNNNNNNNNNNNNNNNNNNNNNNNNNNNNNNNNNNNNNNNNNNNNNNNNNNNNNNNNNNNNNNNNNNNNNNNNNNNNNNNNNNNNNNNNNNNNNNNNNNNNNNNNNNNNNNNNNNNNNNNNNNNNNNNNNNNNNNNNNNNNNNNNNNNNNNNNNNNNNNNNNNNNNNNNNNNNNNNNNNNNNNNNNNNNNNNNNNNNNNNNNNNNNNNNNNNNNNNNNNNNNNNNNNNNNNNNNNNNNNNNNNNNNNNNNNNNNNNNNNNNNNNNNNNNNNNNNNGCCGGUUUUCUUUCACGAGCCCAAACAUUGCUCCCUUUGAUACCUUCCACAUACCUCCAGAAAAAAGAAUUGAAUGACCAUUAUCAUCAAGUUGUCCGACUGAGAUCAACUUCUUCUUUAGUCCAGGAACAUGCCUUACAUUUUGCAAGAUCCAUGUAGAUCCAUUCAUUGUCUUGAUUUGCACAUCUCCUAUACCCACAAUCUUCAUUGGUUGUCCAUCGGCCAGAUAGACUACACCGUGAUCUCCAGCAACAUAGUUUUGCAUCAUCUCAUGAUGUGGUGUACAGUGGAAUGAAGCACCAGAAUCAAGAAUCCAAUCAUCAAUUGGACUUUGUACAGCAAGAAUCAAAGCGUCUUGCACCUCAUCUGUGGUAGCGUUUGCAGAGUCAGCUUCAGGUUUUUUCGGUUUUAUGCAAUUCCUCAUGAAAUGACCAGGUUUGCCACAAUUCCAACAUUCAACCUGCUUUCUGGGUCCGAACUUGCUUUUACUUCUGUAUCUUGAUUUGGAUCUACCUCUGGAUAAGCCUCUAUCCUGUCUCCUCCCUCGAGUGUUAAUGUUGAGAGCUGAUCCUGAACUUGAACUUUCACCUGAGUCUUUCCUUCGCACUUCUUCAGCUAAAAUCAAGUCUCGAAUGUCAUCAUAUUUCAGUUUGGAUUUUCCAGCUGAGUUGCUCACGGCUGUCCUCAUACCUUCCCAACUGNNNNNNNNNNNNNNNNNNNNNNNNNNNNNNNNNNNNNNNNNNNNNNNNNNNNNNNNNNNNNNNNNNNNNNNNNNNNNNNNNNNNNNNNNNNNNNNNNNNNNNNNNNNNNNNNNNNNNNNNNNNNUCAUCUUCAAGUUGACAGCUUCUUCAUCAGGUGCACUUUGUUAUUUGCUGAGGGCUUCUCAUACAUCCCAGACAAAGCUUCCAUUAGUCUUGCAGUGGAUCUUUCUUUUGUAACAUUGUGAGCUACUCUUCUCGACAAGGAUAGCCGGAUAAUGCCCAAAACCUGUCUAUCAAGAAUUUGCCAAUCUUCUUCUUGCAUAUUUUCUGGUUUGCUCCCCAACAAGGGAAGAUGAAGUUUCUUCCCAUAUAGAUAAUCCUCAAUUUGCAUUUUCCAGUAUCCAAAAUCUGUUCCAUCAAAUUUUUCAAUUCCCGCAGCUUUUAUUUCAUCUGCCAUUUUAAUAUGUCUCGGAUUUAAAUCUGUCAAAUCUGACCUUACAGAUGUGUCCGGAACGGCCAAAACUAUUGGAAACGACACUGAGAUCACCCCAAUCGGACUUCGGAUGGCUCAGAUCUUAACAGUCAAAGUUUUAGGUCAACAGACGGUGCUGAUAAAGCCACGUGUCAGGCCGAAAUAGUGUCUGCGAAACACUGAAUCAAAACCCACUGUGAUGACGUGGCUAGAUGACGUGUCAUCCACGUCAGAAAUCCGGGCCCACCUUUGAUGACGUGGCAAAAGGCACGCACUUUUUGGCUGACGUGGCAGGUGAUGACGUGGCUGCUGACUGGUCUGAUGACGUGGCGGAUGACUGUGCAGAAUUGCUGGCGUGGCUGAUGACUGGCUGCUUGCGUGGCGGGUCAGCCCGACCCGUUUUGCAGAAGCCGGGCGAAGAUGGAGCGUGGCGGGCGUACGGCGCGUUGGUGCGCGUGGGCAGUCUGGGCGUACGGCGCGUGUUGGCGCGUGCGGGCAUGCAGGACGUCGGUUCUUCGCCGGGUUUGCAACAGUGGAUUCGUCCGGUUGUCCUCUACACGAUGGUAUGUUCAAAAACACAUUUGGAGAACUUUGAUUUUUGAGUUUGGAUCAAACACCCUCUUUGUCAAGAACAAGCUCUGAUACCAGUUGUUGGGAUAUUUCCAGAACUCAAACACACACAAUUUACGUGGUUCGGCAACUUGCCUACUCCACGGAGCUACUGGUUUGUAUUAAUGAAGCUUACAAACAAUACAAACAAAGGAGGAGGAGAAUCUUCUCAACUCAACUCUACACUCAAGCUCUCUCUACACUUCUCUGUUCUCUCUUCUCUCUGUGUUUUCACUCUCUGCAACUCGUCGGUUCUUCUUCUCUGUGUUCUCUCGAUACACGUACAAACACUUCACAAGGGGGCACAUUAAUAUACAAUUAAUGGGAGUGAGGGGGAGUCCUCCACCAUGUGCUAAGUGGGAGAUUAGGUAAUCCCACUUGCACAUGGUGGGGCUUGCUUGUCUCCAAUAAUUAACAGUUUGCACCAUUCACCAGCCAAGCAUUGAUAUUUUUGAGGCAUUUGAAGAGGUAAUUUAAUAAUCUUAGUUUGUUUUGCCUCCGAUAAGAAUAGAAUCAAAGAACCCAUGCCAUCCGAAUCACUGAUAGCGAGUCGGGUACUGGUGAUGCUCGGCAUCAUUGCCAAUCAUGGUUUUGCUGCUAUUCUUUGGUACAGUUGUUACAUUUGGUUCCAUAAGUUCAUACGAUCAUCAAAAUCUGUUAUCACUAUAAGGGAAUCGUGCUUAUCCUACUGUUAUGUCAUGGUAGUUAAGGCCGUCAAGUUCCAAGCAUUUGAUUCCACAAGGUAAAUUCUGAUUAGUGAAUCAGCUUAUACUUCGGAACGGAAAUCAUUAAUAAAUGGCUUCUUCGAGAUCAAUCAUGUAUAGUUCUGGUGAAAGUAAUGUUAAAUCUGAAGCAGCAGAUUCUGAUGUAAAUGCAUAUAACUGCAGUUGUAAUCAGCUUUUCUCAUUGCAGCUGCUUCUAAUGAAACUUGGAGGACGCAUUAUCUAUUUUGGGCCAGUAGGUCAAUUCUCAAGCAAAGUGAUCGAAUAUUUUGAGGUCAGUUUUUCUCCAUAUUCUUUGUCUCAGUUGCUUCCGAUCAUACUACCUCGCAUGAGCGCAUGAGCACAACAUUGUCUUUUAUUUUGGUUUUGUUAAGUUUCUUAUAUUUCAACCUUGAAUUUCUUGCUUAGAGUAUUCCUGGGGUGCCUAAGAUUGAAGACAAGUAUAAUCCAGCAACAUGGAUGUUAGAGGUUACUUCUAGAUCUGCAGAGGCUGAACUUGGUGUAGAUUUUGCACAAAUUUAUCGAGAGUCCACAUUGUACAAGUAAGCAUAGAAGUACUUGGAUGUUUUGUAUUGAUCCAUUACAGUGAAGAAACUUGACAACCUACAUGUCACAAUUGAAUGCGUUAAGACUAUCCUUCGCUAUGCAAACCUCAAAAGCAACUAGUCAAAACUUUUGAGUGAUCGUUCAAGAUGUUUCAAGAAAUAAUGAGAUCUUACUUUUAUAUGAGUCAUGACCCCUAGUGAUAACAACUCUCUACGCGUCUGACUGCAGGGAGAACAAACAGCUAGUUGAGCAAUUGAGUUCACCAAUCUCCGGUUCAAAGGACUUGCAUUUUCCCAGCCGAUUUCCACAGAAUGGUUGGGAGCAGCUCAAAGCAUGCAUUUGGAAACAGAACCUGUCAUAUUGGAGAAGUCCUGCAUAUAAUCUCAUACGCAUUUUUUAUAUUUUUUCGGGAUCUGUUCUAUUUGGUCUACUGUUCUGGCAGCAAGGAAAACGAAUGUUAGCUACUCUAUUCUUGUUCACGCUUUCAUAAACCAGAAAAUUACAGUCUUCGACUAAACAUUGACAUGAAUGGUAUUUUUUCUGUAGAGAAAACCAUCAAGACCUGUUUAAUAUACUUGGUUCCAUGUACUCUGCAAUAAUCUUCUUCGGUAUAAGCAAUUGCUCAGGAGUCCUGCCACGCAUUGCAGCAGAGCGGGCUGUCAUGUACAGGGAAAGAUUUGCAGGAAUGUACUCUUCAUGGGCCUAUUCAUGCGCACAGGUAAAGGUGUUUUAAGAAAGCUGGUUUAAAGGAUAGAAAUCGAAGUUAGAUUGAAAACUUAUCUAAUUUAUUUCAUUUCGCAUUUUUUUUAGUCAUUUCAGGUAUCUCAGUUUCGUUUUCUUUUUAUUUUCUGUGUAGGUGCUAGUCGAGGUUCCGUACUUGCUCGCUCAAGCAAUUAUUUAUGUGACCAUAACACAUACAAUGAUCGGCUAUUCCUUGUCUCCCUAUAAGAUAUUCUGGUCUGUCUAUGGGAUGUUCUGUACAUUGCUUUCCUUCAACUACCUUGGAAUGCUGCUCAUAUCAGUGACACCAGACAUUCAACUGGCUUCAGCUUUAACCUCACCUUUUUACACAAUGCUGCAUCUAUUUUCCGGGUUCUUUGUCCCGAGAACUGUAAGCUUAAUUUCGUAUUGUCCUACUUAAUUAGUUUAUUUCCAGUGUUUUCCAAGUGCAAUACAUUUUGUUUCAAUUCUGCUAUGCUUCAUCCUUGAACAUUUGUAGAUGCAAAAACAUAAAUAUGCUAUUCGACUCCCAAUAACGGGGCCUUUUUUACUUCUUGCAGUAUAUUCCAAAGUGGUGGAUUUGGUUGUACUAUAUUAGUCCCACAUCCUGGCAACUGAAUGGUUUGUUCACUUCACAAUAUGGAGAUCUGGAGAAAGAAAUAACAGUAUUUGGCCAGACUAAAAGUGUUGCUGCUUUUUUACAAGAUUACUUCGGUUUUCACCGCAACUUCUUGAGUGUUGUUGCUGUCGUCCUUAUAAUCUUUCCCAUUAUCUUUGCUUCUCUUUUUGCUUAUUUCAUUGGAAGGCUGAACUUCCAGAAAAGGUGAAUUAUGAUGUACGGAUCUCUCUGUCGACGCAUCUUAAUCGCCUUCAUUCCAUUUUAUUUCUGUAUAUGGAGAUACAGCAUUUAUUUUAUGAGUGACAUGUAUCCUCUCCCUGGUUUUUCCUCCACUCUGUGACAUCAACAUGGCCAUUUUUUUCUGUUGUGGUUGAAAUUUUGGUUCCCAGACAACUUUUGCUUUUGUCCGGACGUAAACUAGCUUUAUUACAGGUCAGUGGAAAGUUUCAACUUGAAACAAGACAUGAUUGUAACUUGUAAGUAUAAAUCGGUAUGAUACUUUGUCCAAAGCAAGAGACUAACAAGGGCUUGUGCUUUACAAGUUUGAUUCGUUUCUCUUGCUCUGUUGGGAGAUCUUUGAUUUGGCAUGUUAGGAGUGACUCUGAUUAUUUCUCAGUACGGAAAUAUUUGUUUGAUUUCCUCCAAUAUAGAAGCGUCCCUUGCUAGCUACAACUAAGAUGAUUUGUUGUGAUCAAGGAUUGCUUCCUAAAAUAGUUGAAUAUAUAAGUUUUAUACAUAGCUGAUAUUUUUAUUAUGACUACAAGAACAAAAUAUAUAUUUAUGGAGUAAUUAAGAAUCUGAUAUUUUUAUUAUGACUACAAGAACAAAAUAUAUAUUUAUGGAGUAAUUAAGCAUUUUGCUACCCUCGUUUUCUAUUUAUUGUGUGAGAUGUUUUUGUUCUUUCAUUAAUUUCGUACUAAUCCUCUGUGAUGCCCUAUCUCCAGAAGUGCAUCAUCUUCUUUUUCUCAGAUUGUUGAAUAAGUUGUUGUUUUUUUUUUUCAUUGCUUCACUCAUAACAUCAUUGAUUAUAUAUAUAUAUAUAUUAAUUUAAUAACACUACAUGUUGUAAAUAUUUAUUUGGUUAAGCAAUUAAGUGUUAUAUACAUUAUGAUAUAAUGGGUUUAUAAAAAAUAAUAUUUAAAUCUAUAAAUAUAUUCUUUUAUAUAUUAUAAAACUUAUAUAGAAUGGAAUGCUAAAAUGAGCGGGGUUGACAUUUUUUGUAUAAGUAGGAGAUUCGGAACAACUUUUACUGUAUAGGAGGUGUGCGUUAUAUUGUAGGUCUAUUAUUUUUUUCAUCCUAUAAAAGAUAUUAAAAAAAUAUAAUUUUAAAAAAAUAUAUCCAAAAUUAUAAUUAUUGACUCGAGAUCCAAAAAUAUUAAAAAAAAAAAAAAAAAGGUUCAAGUCAAACUUGAUGAACCUACUGAAUCCAU
rnacentral:lncRNA from 1 species